rnacentral:rRNA from 1 species
CAAUAGCGUAUAUUUAAGUUGUUGCAGUUAAAAAGCUCGUAGUUGGAUUUCGGGUGGGACGCAGCGGUCUCGCAUUGCGUUUGUACUGCUGCAGCCCUCCUUCUUGCCGGGGGCGGCCUCUCGGACUUCACUGUCUGGGGGUCAGAAUCGGCGAUGUUACUUUGAGUAAAUUAGAGUGUUCAAAGCAAGCUUACGCUCUGAAUAUAAUAGCAUGGGAUAACACGACAGGACUCUGGCCUAUCGUGUUGGUCUAUAGGACCAGAGUAAUGAUUAAGAGGGACAGUCGGGGGCAUUCGUAUUCCGUUGUCAGAGGUGAAAUUCUUGGAUUUACGGAAGACGAACAUCUGCGAAAGCAUUUGCCAAGGAUGUUUUCAUUGG